ACUUUUAAAGACUCCGGAUGCUUUUGGUUUCCCGUCUUGGUUCGGGGGCCCCCGCCCACCAGCCCACUCCACCGCAUCCGCGCUCUCGGGGGAUUUAGUGGGUUCCCAUUUGCUUUGAACCAAACCAGACAGUUGGCAGCUCAAACAUUAAAUUCAAGCACCCACGUGCUUCACCUUUCCUGCUGUAAUCUUUUGCCCGGUUGAAGUCCAAAAUCCUCUGAAAUCAGCUGCAUGGAUAAGCUUUGGUAUGUUACAAAAUGACAUUCCUGGAUGUCCUGGAUGAAUUAUAGAGAAUGUAAAGCUUCUUGAGUCGAUACCAGAGUCGAUACUGUCUAAAAAUGUUCAGCAUUCCAAACAUACAUUAAAGAUAACAAAAAAAUUUUUUUUUAUAAAUUGUUAAUACUAGUUUACUGAUCCUAAUGAUAUUGGCUUUGAUGUUUUUACAGACAUAGAAUGGGAUUGCUCAUGUUUACUUAUCUGGAAGUAAGGUCUUUCAAACACUUUUAAACUUCUUACUCCAUACGUUUAUAGCACUGGGCAGUUACUGA
rnacentral:lncRNA from 1 species